GGUCGGACUAGGCCGGGCAGUUAGGCCACUGCCCCAUCGCCUCCAACGGUCUUCAUGUUGGGGCCGACCACCGGGCGCGUCUGGGUGGACCAGUGCGGGCCCUGCAAGCCAACGUCGAAGCCUCGUCCCACGAGGGCAGCGGUCCGGGAACCGAUCUCUGCAGGGAGGCACGGGCCCGGUUGACCCCGAGAACCCCGUCAGGCGCGGAAGCGAGCAGCGGUAUCGGGGACACCUGUCGCCCGUGGGGUCGCGGGGUGGAGGAGGCGAGCAGGCCUCACCCGUGUUGGAACAGCCAGGCAACCCCGGCGUCCGGUU
rnacentral:SRP_RNA from 1 species